UGGGGAAUAUUGGACAAUGGAGGAAACCCUGAUCCAGCAAUGCCGCGUGAGUGAAGAAGGCCUUAGGGUUGUAAAGCUCUUUCGCCCGCGAAGAUAAUGACGGUAGCGGGAGAAGAAGCCCCGGCUAACUCCGUGCCAGCAGCCGCGGUAAUACGGAGGGGCUAGCGUUGUUCGGACUUACUGGGCGUAAAGCGUACGUAGGCGGAUGCGCAAGUUGGGGGUGAAAUCCCGGGGCUUAACCUCGGAAUUGCCCUCAAAACUGCACGUCUUGAGACCGAGAGAGGUAAGGGGAAUUCCUAGUGUAGAGGUGAAAUUCGUAGAUAUUAGGAAGAACACCAGUGGCGAAGGCGCCUUACUGGCUCGGUACUGACGCUGAGGUACGAAAGCGUGGGGAGCAAACA
rnacentral:rRNA from 1 species